rnacentral:rRNA from 1 species
GACGAACGCUGGCGGCGUGCUUAACACAUGCAAGUCGAACGGAAAGGCCCUGGUUUUGUUGGGUGCUCGAGUUGCGAACGGGUGAGUAACACGUGAGUAACCUGCCCUUGACUUUGGGAUAACUUCAGGAAACUAGGGCUAAUACCGGAUAGGAGCUCCUGCUGCAUGGUGGGGGUUGGAAAGUUUCGGCGGCUGGGGUUGGAAGCGCGGCUUAUCAGCUUGUUGGUGGGGGAGUGGUUUAGGAAGGCUUUGACGGGUAGCCGUCCUGGGAGGGUGACCGGCCACAUUGGGCCUGAGAUACGGCCAAGAGUCCUACGGGAGGAAGCAGUGGGGAAUUGUCCACGAUGGGCGGAAGCCGGAUGCAGGAACGCCGCGUGCGGGAUGACGGCCUUAGGGUUGUAAACAGCUUUAGACUGUGACGAAGAGUGAGUGACGGUAAUGUAUAAAGAAGCACCGGCUAACUACGUG